rnacentral:rRNA from 1 species
GCAACGCCGCGUGAGUGAAGAAGGGUUUCGGAUCGUAAAGCUCUGUUGUUAGAGAAGAACGAUAGAGGUAGUAACUGGCCAUUAUAUGACGGUAUUUACCCAGAAAGUCACGGCUAACUACGUGCCAGCAGCCGCGGUAAUACGUAGGUGGCAAGCGUUGUCCGGAUUUAUUGGGCGUAAAGGGAGUGCAGGCGGUCCAAUAAGUCUGAUGUGAAAGCCUUCGGCUCAACCGGAGAAUUGCAUCGGAAACUGUAGAACUUGAGUGCAGAAGAGGAGAGUGGAACUCCAUGUGUAGCGGUGGAAUGCGUAGAUAUAUGGAAGAACACCAGUGGCGAAGGCGGCUCUCUGGUCUGUAACUGACGCUGAGGUUCGAAAGCAUGGGUAGCGAACAGGAUUAGAUACCCUGGUAGUCCAUGCCGUAAACGAUGAGUGCUAAGUGUUGGAAGGUUUCCGCCCCUCAGUGCUGCAGCUAACGCAUUAAGCAUUCCGCCUGGGGAGUACGACCGCAAGGUUGAAACUCAAAGGAAUUGACGGGGGCCCGCACAAGCGGUGGAGCAUGUGGUUUAAUUCGAAGCAACGCGAAGAACCUUACCAGGUCUUGACAUCC